rnacentral:rRNA from 1 species
GAUGAACGCUGGCGGCGUGCCUAAUACAUGCGAGUCGAGCGAACAGACGAGGAGCUUGCUCCUCUGACGUUAGCGGCGGACGGGUGAGUAACACGUGGAUAACCUACCUAUAAGACUGGGAUAACUUCGGGAAACCGGAGCUAAUACCGGAUAAUAUAUUGAACCGCAUGGUUCAAUAGUGAAAGACGGUUUUGCUGUCACUUAUAGAUGGAUCCGCGCCGCAUUAGCUAGUUGGUAAGGUAACGGCUUACCAAGGCAACGAUGCGUAGCCGACCUGAGAGGGUGAUCGGCCACACUGGAACUGAGACACGGUCCAGACUCCUACGGGAGGCAGCAGUAGGGAAUCUUCCGCCCUGGGCGCACGCUUGCCGGAGCACCGCCGCGUGAGUGAUGAAGGUCUUCGGAUCGUAAAACUCUGUUAUUAGGGAAGAACAAAUGUGUAAGUAACUAUGCCCGUCUUGACGGUACCUCAUCAGAAAGCCACGGCUCACUACGUG